UACGGGGGGGGCAAGCGUUGUUCGGAAUUACUGGGCGUAAAGGGCUCGUAGGCGGCCAACUAAGUCAGACGUGAAAUCCCUCGGCUUAACCGGGGAACUGCGUCUGAUACUGGAUGGCUUGAGUUUGGGAGAGGGAUGCGGAAUUCCAGGUGUAGCGGUGAAAUGCGUAGAUAUCAGGAGGACCCCCUAUUGCGAAGGAAGCUCGCUGGGACGUACCUGACGCUGAGCCGCGAAAGCGUGGGAGCAAACAGG
rnacentral:rRNA from 1 species